GGUAAUGUUACAUGAAUUCUUGAUUAAAAAAAAUAUUUAUUAUAAGUUCAUGACCUUCAGUAGGCAGAAAAUUAGCUUGGGAUUUAGAAUAUGGAAAUCCCAUUUUUGUCAGGUUUUGGGUGAGACUGAGAAAACAUAAUCUCCCUAAAGUUUUCCUUUAGGGAGAGAUAGUGAUUUUGAUGGGCUUUAUAAAAUGGUCUAACAUAACAUUAGGUCUGUGUAGAAUCAGGAGAUUAGAUUUGAUAAAGCACUGAGUAGACAAAGUAGACAAAGCUCUCGAAAAUAACACUUUGAAAAAAUGGGAGGAAAUUAAUGUUCAGAUUUGUCUUGUCUUGUUUUCUUUUCUUUUUGUUAUAUUGAUUUCCAGGCUUUCACCAGUGAAUUUCACAAUCUUCAUUCAUUGAAAUACUAAGAAUGCAUUUUUUAAUACCUGGAAGGUAUAAUCAAAGACUCUAGGGUCCAUUAUCAGCAAUGCAAGGACACAGAUUUUAUCUGGUAGUUGGAGAAAAGUAGCUCAACCUUGCUCACCUUAUACUUGACUAGCUGCAACCUAAGGUGAGAUGUGUUUCACAUAUAUUAUUAUAUCAAACGACGGGUUUGCAAUGAAGCAACUGAAAAAUAUUAUAAAAGGGUAACAGUCUAAAAAUGGUUGUUAGACUCAGAAUAUAAGUUACAGUGCAUUAGAAACAAAUCUGUAGUGUGAAGUCUCAAAGGGUUUUUUAUUUAUCUUUAGAAACUCGGUGUUAACAAACACCUGCUCUAAAUUUUGUUUGUUAUGAUAGCAACUGCUGCUAUCAUGGGAAACAUUACAAAAAUAACUUCACUCAAAGAGCUCCUUUGUGUGAGAAAGUGCAUAUUUUCCCCAGCAAUUUUUGCUAAAAUAUGCAAAAUACCAUAGCAAUCUUAAUAACCAUAUCCCUACUUAAUGUGUUAGCAUAAAAAAUAACUUCGCAUGUUUCUGUUUGCAGAAAAACAAACUUUUCCAUUUUUCUCUGUGUAUAUUUUGUGUUGUUUUGUUCUGUUUUGGUUUGGUUUUUUUUAACAGAAGAAACUGAUAACAGCUAUAGAAGUUCAGUAUCAUUAUCCUUUCAGAUAAUAAUUUUAAGGAAUGUUAUGAACUAUUGGAGGGGAAAAUGCCAUUGCUAAUGGCUCAUGUACCUACAACUACAAAAUUACAGAGCAAAUGGAUUCUUGUUUUCAAUUGCCCUAAGCAGAACACUAAGACAAUUCUGUUGUACACAGAAUAAAUAAUAAGCUUCAAGUAACUGACAUUUACUAGUAUGUCAUAGAAUCAUUUUUACAGUCAUAGAUGAAACUGCAUUUGCUAAGUUGCUUUCACAGAGCAGGCUUUUCCUUCUGAUAGAUUCCCUACUUCUCAAAGUAUAAUUAAUCUUCCUGUAAAAGCACUGAUCCUAAUCUUUAGUCUGUGUUAAGAUGACUAGAUAUUCCAGUUUUAAUUAUAAAGUCCUUUAUCUUAAUACUCUGCAGAGAUGCCCAUUUGACCCCAUUCCACUUUUGUUUCAUUUGCUCUGUGGCACAUGAUCAUCAUGUAAAAGGAAUAGCACAUGGUCAAAGGGCUCUGUUCAGAGGUGACUUACAUGCUGUCUGCUACCAGAUAUAAUGUAGAUUGCACUAAAAAAAUCAAUAUAUUUCUGCUUUGUAACUUAUAUUGCAUGAUUAUUUUUUGAAGUAGGUUAUUCAUUGUACCACAGAGCAGUCUUUUGGCACCAGAAUCUUCAAAGCAAUUAUGGAAAUGGAGAAAGAAUAUACUGCAGAUUUGGUCCUGCCCAGAAGAGGUGUUGGAACCCUUCUUAUUGGAAACAUCAGUGAAAAAUGAUCAAAAGGAAAGAAAGAUAAAUAGGACAAUCUACUUUCCUUUAACAGGCACUGUGUUUUGUCUGAUAAAAGGCAUAAGACCAAAAGGCAGAAGCAGGCCAUUUCUUUUAUCAAUAGGCUAUGCUGUGAAAAACAAAACUUGAAGCACAAGCAAACAGAAUUGCACUACCAGUAAUGAAGAGAGGUGGCACACGAGGAUGGCAGAUGCUACUUUCUUCGCAGUCUUGAAGAGGGCUGUCUGCUUUGUCAUUAUUUCUUGCCAAGGAUUUUGCAAGCUACUGCUUCAACUGGAUAUUUUCUCUUAUUACUCCCAGGAUCUCCUUGGGAAUUGCAGCUGGCAUCCUUGUUCACUGCCAGAGUAUGUGGUAGCUCUUUCACUUGGUACUCUCAGGCACUCUCUUCACAUCCUCUUGUUAAAAAAAUUUGUUCUCGGAUUAACACGAUUGUGUGUCCAAGGCCUAAUUGUCAUUCUGGAGUGAUGAAUGACACAGCUUCAGGGAAAAAAGUUCCGGAGUGGGAUACGGACCAUAGUAUACUACAUGUGAUGUAAAGAACUAUUAUCAUCUCCCUCACCUGCUUGUCUGUCUUAUAAUUAAAAAAAAAUAAUUGUAUGUAUCUGGAAGAAAUAAUUAAAAUGGAGAUAAUAUUUAUUGCCAUUGCUGGUGAUACUGACAUGACAUAUUAGGGUGUUUAUAUAUCUUUCAAAAAAUGGUUUGUGAUUCUUUUAUGUCAGAUAAGUGAUGAGGCAGGUGUGAUUCCUAGGCAAAACAGACCCCUGCAAAUUGAAUCAGAGUACCAAGGUAAGACUGUCAUUGUGCAAGCCUCUUCUGCCCUGAAGCUAAUGUGUACAGUCUGUUUUAGCAAGUGCUUUCAUAUUUUUGUUAUUUAUUAUAAACAUAUACAGCAUGUAAGUGUUUUUAUUAUUGGCUGACUUUGGUAUUUUGUAGUCACGAUUGUGGUAUUUAAACAGGAGAUGAUCUGUUCUGCACAUGGAAAAGGGGCUGUGUUAUGGAGGAAAUAAUUUUAAAAAGUGUUGCAAUUUUUUGGCAAGAGGGUGUUAUGAUUAUAUCUCAAAGAAUAUACCCGGUGUUCAUUAUGUUCAUGUACAAACCCAUGGCAAUUUGUAUCUGAUUUCUAGUCUGUACCUAGGGAGCAUUGUCUUUGUGUUAGAAAUGCAAGUAUGCUAUUAAUUUGUAAAGUUCUUACAUGUAUAUAGUCUCAUCUAUUUCUUUUUUAGCAGAUAUAUAAUAUUGCUUCCCAAUUUCACCCUAAGAGCUAUGAUUACUUAGAUUAAACGAGGAAUGUCACUUUAAUAGCAACUUUUAUAAAUAAUGGAGAUAUUUUUAUAAAACUUCAUCAUAUUAACUUUGUAUUAAUAUCCAAAAUGCAUUUGGUAUGAUAAAACAGCACAUUGCCAUUGGUUAAGAAAUUCCUUUCAAAGAAUUUGCCUGACAGUGAUUUUUAGAACACAUUUCAAGACUUUCUGAAAAUCUUGAAAUCAAGCAUGACAUUAUUGUGUUAUAAAAAUGUAUUUGGUGAGGGACACAUAGUUAUUUUCAGUUUCCAGAUGAAGCAGAGAUGAUAACUUAUCUCCAGUCACUGCUAGAAAAAAUUUUUAGACACUUGCAGACUGCGGGCUUUUUUUUUCUUCUCCUGCUGCACCAUUGUUGUACAGAGAGAUUAUUUUUACAGGAGACGUUGUGUCCAGGAUAUACAUAUCUAGGUGAAAGUUGUCUCAAGGUAGGAAAACUCCUGAAACAUUCAUCCCUCGCAUCUCAGGGGUAUGAUUUCCAGGCAAAUGCUCAGCUUUAGAAAUUGUGCAUCACAGCACCGUGCAUGUAUAUAUUGGAACACGAAAUGCCAAGUAUAA